UACAGAGGUCCCAAGCGUUGUUCGGAUUCACUGGGCGUAAAGGGUGCGUAGGUGGCUUGGAAAGUUUGAUGUGAAAGCUCAGGGCUCAACCCUGAAAUGGCAUUGAAUACUAUCGAGCUGGAGGUUUGGAGGGGGGACUGGAAUACUUGGUGUAGCAGUGAAAUGCGUAGAUAUCAAGUGGAACACCAGUGGCGAAGGCGGCUCGCUGGACAAGUAUUGACGCUGAGGUGCGAAAGCGUGGGGAGCAAACAGG
rnacentral:rRNA from 1 species